rnacentral:rRNA from 1 species
AUUGAACGCUGGCGGCAUGCCUUACACAUGCAAGUCGAACGGUAACAGGUCUUCGGAUGCUGACGUGUGGCGAACGGGUAAGUAAUACAUCGGCACGUGCCCGAUCGUGGGGGAUAACGAGGCGAAAGCUUUGCUAAUACCGCAUACGAUCUACGGACGAAAGCGGUAGAUCUUCGGACCUCGAGCGGACGUAGCGUCCGAUGGGAGAUUUGGUGGUUGGUGGGAUAAAGUCUUACCAAGCCGACGAUCUCUAGCCGAUCUGAGAGGAGGAUCCGCCACACUGGAACUGGAAAACGGCCCAGACUCCUACGGGAGGCAGAGGUGGGGAAUUUUGGACAAGGGGGAAAGUCCUGAUCCAGCCAGGCCGCGUGGAGGAUGAAGGCCUUCGGGUGGUAAACUGCUUUUGUACGGAACGAAAAGCCUCUGUCUAAAAAGGAGGGGUCAUGACGGUACCGUAAGAAUAAGCAACGGCUAACUAGGUG